rnacentral:rRNA from 1 species
AAACGUAGGAGGCGAGCGUUAUCCGGAUUUACUGGGUGUAAAGCGCGUGCAGGCGGAUGUCAAAGUGGUGCGUGAAAGCGCCCGGCUUAACCGGGCGAGGACGUGCUAAACUGGGGAUCUGGAGGCAGGGAGAGGCGUGUGGAAUUCCGGGUGUAGUGGUGAAAUGCGUAGAGAUCCGGAGGAACACCAGUGGCGAAAGCGACACGCUGGGCCUGACCUGACGCUCAGACGCGAAAGCAUGGGGAGCGAACGGGAUUAGAAACCCCGGUAGUCCAUGCCGUAAACGAUGCGGACUAGGUGUACGUGCCGGAAGGCAGGUGUGCCGAAGCCAACGCGAUAAGUCCGCCACCUGGGGACUACGGCCGCAAGGUUAAA